AUUGAACGCUGGCGGCAUGCUUUACACAUGCCAGUCGAACGGCAGCGCGGGCUUCGGCCUGGCGGCGAGUGGCGAACGGGUGAGUAAUACAUCGGAACGUGCCCAGUAGUGGGGGAUAGCUCGGCGAAAGCCGGAUUAAUACCGCAUACGACCUGAGGGGGAAAGCGGGGGAUCUUCGGACCUCGCGCUAUUGGAGCGGCCGAUGGCAGAUUAGCUAGUUGGUGGGGUAAAGGCCUACCAAGGCGACGAUCUGUAGCUGGUCUGAGAGGACGACCAGCCACACUGGGACUGAGACACGGCCCAGACUCCUACGGGAGGCAGCAGUGGGGAAUUUUGGACAAUGGGCGAAAGCCUGAUCCAGCAAUGCCGCGUGUGUGAUGAAGGCCUUCGGGUUGUAAAGCACUUUUGGCGGGAACGAAAAGGACUGUGCCAAUACCACGGUUCGAUGACGGUACCCGCAGAAUAAGCACCGGCUAACUACGUG
rnacentral:rRNA from 1 species